UUUUACCCUACGUAUACAUCCAUAGGUAACCCUUUGUUGAAAUGUCUCCACUUAACCAUCUGGGGACAAUUUUGUUUUCUGUCAGGAUUUUGAUUGAACAGUACUGGACACCAGACAUAGCUUCACAAGGUCAAGCUGACAUGGUGUUUUUUAAAACUAUGGGCCUCCUUCUCAUCAAUUCACUGUCCACUAUUAGAUAAAAAGCAUGCCAACACAUGAUAAUUUUCAAGAUAGUCCCUCUCUUCCUUGGGUUCCCUGGGCUGGAAAGGUAAGUCUGUGAGUCAUCAAUGUAAUAGGUAGUAAUUGCAGCCAAACGUGUGGGUGAAUCUGCUUACAGUGACAGAGUAAGUAGAGAUCAAGGAGUGCUUAUGACCAAACCUAUGCUGUCAAAGAAAAAAUAUUAACAAAAUUAAAAGGUAAAGGCAAUGGGCAUUUGUAUUUAUAAUAAGUAGAAUGGACCAAGG
rnacentral:lncRNA from 1 species